rnacentral:rRNA from 1 species
AUACCGCGUGUGUGAAGAAGGCCUUCGGGUUGUAAAGCACUUUAAGCAGGGAGAAAAAGUUAUAAGCUAAUACCUUAUAACCGUGAUGUUACCUGCAGAAUAAGCACCGGCUAAUUCCGUGCCAGCAGCCGCGGUAAUACGGAAGGUGCAAGCGUUAAUCGGAAUUACUGGGCGUAAAGCGCGCGUAGGUGGUUUGUUAAGUUGGAUGUGAAAGCCCUGGGCUCAANCCUAGGAACUGCAUCCAAAACUAACUCANCUAGAGUACGAUAGAGGGAGGUAGAAUUCAUAGUGUAGCGGUGGAAUGCGUANAUAUUAUGAAGAAUACCAGUGGCGAAGGCGGCCUCCUGGAUCUGUACUGACACUGAGGUGCGAAAGCGUGGGUAGCGAACAGGAUUAGAUACCCUGGUAGUCCACGCCGUAAACGAUGACAACUAGCUGUUGNAAGAUAAUGUCUUUCAGUGGCGCAGCUAACGUUUUAAGUUGUCCGCCUGGGGAGUACGGCCGCAAGGCUAAAACUCAAAUGAAUUGACGGGGACCCGCACAAGCGGUGGAGCAUGUGGUUUAAUUCGAUGCAACGCGAAAAACCUUACCUACUCUUGACAUACUUGGGAGCUCUUGUAAUGAGAGUGUGCCUUUUGGAACCAAGAUACAGGUGCUGCAUGGCUGUCGUCAGCUCGUGUCGUGAGAUGUUCCGUUAAGUCGGAUAACGAGCGCAACCCUUACCCUUAUUUGCCAGCGAUUCGGUCGGGAACUAUAAGGGGACUGCCGGUGAUAAACCGGAGGAAGGUGAGGACGACGUCAAGUCAUCAUGGCCCUUACGAGUAGGGCUACACACGUGCUACAAUGGGGAAUACAGACGGACGCUAAGCCGCGAGGUGGUGCUAAUCCUAGAAAGUUUCUCGUAGUCCGGAUUGGAGUCUGCA